rnacentral:rRNA from 1 species
UAGGGAAUCUUCCACAAUGGACGAAAGUCUGAUGGAGCAACACCGCGUGAGUGAAGAAGGGUUUCGGCUCGUAAAGCUCUGUUGUUAAAGAAGAACACGUAUGAGAGUAACUGUUCAUACGUUGACGGUAUUUAACCAGAAAGUCACGGCUAACUACGUGCCUG